rnacentral:misc_RNA from 1 species
UACGCAAAGAAAAACGGUUUCACUCACGUAUACGCGUCCCACUUCCCUGUGCAGGAAACUGCACCGGCGUGUCGCAGUGGCGUUGCAAGGGGCAUGCGCUCCUUUCAUCGUCUCUCUCCUUCUCGCUCGCUCACUCACUGGCCUUCUCGGGCUCUCUGCACAUCUCUGCCGCGCAGGAGCGGAGAGCAGAGGGACUUGGACCGACGUUGAGCGGUGCUUCUCUUCUCCCGCCGGCACUGCCGUGCUAUUUGUGGAUCCACUGGCUGCCCAGCGCACCUCUUUCUGCCAGUCAGCUUCCUAGCUCCUUCUCUCUCUGUUACUACUUCCGUAAUUCGACGUUUGAUUGCACCAUGCUGCGGCGAGGGACUCCGCUGCUACGCGGCGCUGGCCUUUACGAGGGUGCUGUCGCACGAGCAACCACAGUGUACGGGCCUUUCGCGGCUGCUGCGCUGCGCAGCCGUCGGGGAGUGCUUGCGAAGCGGCAAGUGCUCGGCACGCAUCCGUCGCUCAAGCCGUCGGUGCUGCCGGGCUAUAGCGCUUGGUCGACGCAAGCACGCACGCUUGUGUGUAUAUCCUGGCUGCUGCGCACUCCAAGCUCCACCCCUCCCUCAGAGGACCAGAAAAAGAAGAAGUUUCAGAAGCGCUCGUGUGGCGCCACCUGUGUAGAUAAUUUACAAAAAGCGACAGUACUGCCAAGUGACGCGUCAGCUGCGCAAACGGGUGGCGAUGGCGCCGGCGCUGCCAGCAGUGAGGGAGAGGUUGCCGCACAGAACGGCAGCGGCAACAAGAGCGAGACAGCUGGAGGGAAACGGAACAAGGAGAAGGGCAGCAGCAGCAGCAGCGGUGGUGGCUCCGCUGGCACUUUUGCUCGCCUCUCCGAAGACGAAGUGGAGGUGACUCAUCGCCUGGGCAUGGGUGAGCGGGUGGCGGCGGCAGGCCAGGAGGCCCAGAGGAGCCCACAUCGCCCGCUGCCACCAGCGGAUCAGCCUGCCUCGCCAGGAGAUGACAUGCCAUUCAACGCGGCGCAGAAGACGAGCGCAGGGGACGCCACGACAGAACCGGAGCUAUCAGCCAAGAAGGAAAAGCCUACGGCGAGCAUCACCACACCACCUCGCCUGGACGGGAUUCAAAUCUCGGAGAACGCGUCUGACAUCCCCGUCGGCCGCGUUCUGUGGAAGAUGUGGACCUACCUCUGGCCACACGGCGAGCCAAAGAUCAAGAUGCUCGUGGCCAGCAGUGUGUUGUGUGUGCUGGUGGCCAAGGUGCUGAGGGUGGCGGUUCCUUUCUGGUUCAAGACGAUCGUGGACCUACUGGCCCCCACCACGGCAACAGCGGAGGCUGUGACGGUGGCCGGCCCGCUCACGGUAGGCGUGUUCGGGUGUGUUGUGGCGUACGGCAUCUGCCGCAUCACGACCUUCGUCUCCGAGGAGCUCAAGACGGUGCUAUUCGCCCCGGUCGGCGGGCACGCCUCCACGAAGUUGUCGAUGGAGAUGUUCAACAAGCUGCACCAGCUCGACCUCGACUAUCACCUCAGCCGCGAGACCGGCGUCCUGAGCAAAGACCUCGACCGCGGUAGCCGCGCGUUCUGGUCCUUGGCGUACGUGCUGCUCUUCAUGAUUGCUCCGACAAUCUUCGAGAUGGGGCUUGUAUGCUAUGCCCUCAACAGCCAGGCUGGCCCGCAGUUCAUCGGCAUUGCACUCAUCGCGGUCUUCUCCUACGUGGCGUGGACCUUUUUGGUGACGAACUGGCGCUCGAAGUUUCGCACGCGCUACAACGCCCUUGAGAGCCGUGUCGGCGGGCUUAUCGUGGACUCGCUGCUCAACUACGAGACGAUCAAGUACUUUGGCUCAGAGAAGUACGAGUCCGAGCGCAUUCGCAAGGAAACGGAGAACAUGAACAAGAAGCUUGUGAUUCUUGAUCAGACGAUGGCGCUGCUGAACUUUGGGCAGCAGCUCAUUUUCGUGGUGGCCAGUGUGCUGAGUCUGUACCUCGCCACGUGCGGUGUGCUGACGGGGGCGAUGACGGUUGGCGACUUGGUGCUGGUGGACGCGCUCCUGAUGCAGCUCUAUAUGCCGCUGAGCUACCUCGGCAUGAUUUACCGCGAGGUCCAGUCCAGCACGCAGAACAUGCAGGCAAUGAUAGCCUUGCUAGACCAAAAGUCGAACGUGAAAGACAAGGCGGACGCGGAGACAUACAAGUAUAUCGACGGCACCAUCGAGCUGCACGACGUCACCUUUGAGUACAAGAAAGAGCUCAACCGCCUCGUCCUGCGCAACCUCAGUCUCACGAUUCCAGGAGGUAAGACAGUGGCCUUUGUCGGCCCUUCGGGGAGCGGCAAGAGCACCAUCUUCCGCCUCCUCUUCCGCUUCUACGACCCCACUUCUGGGCAAGUGCUGCUGGACGGGCAGCCCCUCGACAAACUGCGCAUGGAGAGCGUACGCAAGUGCAUCGGGGUCAUCCCACAAGAUACGGUGCUCUUCAACGAGUCAGUUCGGUACAACAUCCGCUAUGGCCGCAUGGACGCGACGGAUGCCGAGGUGGAGGCCGCAGCGAGGGCUGCAAGCCUGCACGACACCAUAGCGCGCAUGAGCGAAGGCUACGACACAUCUGUCGGUGAGCGGGGCCUCAGGCUGAGCGGCGGCGAGAAGCAGCGCAUUUCCAUUGCGCGCGUUCUGCUGAGGGACCCUCCUAUCCUACUAGCCGACGAGGCCACCUCCGCACUCGACAGCAUGACCGAGCUGAACGUGAUGGAGACACUCAAGAACGCUACUGAGCGGACGCGGCGACGCACAAUUGUCCUCGUCGCACACCGCCUCACGACCGUGAAGGAAGCCGACAUUAUCUUUGUGCUCGACGGCAAAGGUGGCCUUGCAGAGCAAGGCACCCAUGCGGAGCUGCUGGACAAGGGCGGCUUGUACGCUGCUAUGUGGCAUCAGCAGCUGAACGAACAGUAUCAGGCUACCGGCGGUGCCGCACCCGAAGACGCGCACGCGACGGAUGCGAAGCCCACUGCCACAAACGGCUGAGCGGGGUGCGGGGUCUCUCGCUGCAGUGAGGCGCGCCUCACCCGCUUACCCAUACAGUACUCUUUUCGGUAUCGUUGUUGGCUGAGUGCGAGGAAGUGUGGGUGGUGGUGGUGAAGGCGAGGGAGCAAAGCAGUGCUUGGAGGUUGGCACACACUAGCAAGAACGACUCGUGUGGUCGCGCAGGCGGCACAGCAGUUCAUCAAGCGCGCACUUGGGAGUGACCUCCUCCCGCUCUUCUCCCUACGCGGGUGCGCAUCUCUCUUUCUUUGCAUGUGUACGCCUCUGUGGAUUGCCGAUCUCGUCCUGCUUAUGUGCGUGUGUCGCGGUGCGAGGGGCGAUGGUGGGGGUGGGGCACGCUGCCAGAUGGGUGACUGGAAGGAAUGGCUUCGGUGCAGCUCUUGCUUUUUCGUCUUCCUUGUGUGUGUGCGUGUGCCAGGAGGUGGGAGACCGAGGACCCUUAACGCCAACUCAUGAGCGCCGCCUCCACCGCAUCCCUUUUAUCUUUUCGCUCCUUAUGUUCUCUCUCUCAAUAUAUUUUUUCCAUCUCUUUCACUCGCUCUCUAUCUCAGAUUGCCCCCUCCCCCCUCCCCCUCCUCAUCGACGCCAUCUUCGCCGUUGUGAUUCGGCUUGCUCACAGAUUGCCAAACUUCUUCUUUUCUUCAAUUUGUGUAUCUCUUGUUGUGAGCGUGUGAGUGUCUUUCUCUAACUGUUAUGGUCUAGUGAG